rnacentral:rRNA from 1 species
UACGUAGGGCGCAAGCGUUGUCCGGAUUUAUUGGGCGUAAAGAGCUCGUAGGCGGUGUGUCGCGUCGGCCGUGAAAACCUGCAGCUUAACUGUGGGCUUGCGGUCGAUACGGGCAUCACUGGAGUUCGGCAGGGGAGACUGGAAUUCCUGGUGUAGCGGUGAAAUGCGCAGAUAUCAGGAGGAACACCGAUGGCGAAGGCAGGUCUCUGGGCAUUAACUGACACUGAGGCACGAAAGCUAGGGGAGCGAAUGGG